CGUAAGAGAAGAUUUUCUCUCGAAAAAAACGAAGUGUCAACAAUCGGCAUGGAACUGGGAUAUUCGUAUCAAAGGGCUCUGAAUGCAGGAAAAUGACUGAAUAUUACUUAGUCUACAACACUGGGUUAUGAAGAAUUCCAGCCUGCAUUAAAUACUAUGUUGGAUCCUUGAGAGCGGAUUUGACAGCCAUGUCCAUCCACAAGGCAGUCGCAUCUGAUCGAGAUGAUCACUAAACAUUCUUGAUGGGUAAAGUACCUGAAGGUGCAUGAAAACCAAAUCAGCAUUGACUCAGCAUUGAGUAGUUAUCAUCUGUGCAC